rnacentral:rRNA from 1 species
UUGACCUCAAAUCAGGUAGGACUACCCGCUGAACUUAAGCAUAUCAAUAAGCGGAGGAAAAGAAACUAACAAGGAUUCCCCUAGUAACUGCGAGUGAAGCGGGAAGAGCUCAAAUUUUGAAUCUGGCGGUCCUUGUGGCCGUCCGAGUUGUAAUCUAGAGAAGUGUUUUCCGCGCUGGACCGUGUACAAGUCUCCUGGAAGGGAGCGUCAUAGAGGGUGAGAAUCCCGUCUUUGACACGGACAACCAGGGCUAUGUGAUGCGCUCUCGACGAGUCGAGUUGUUUGGGAAUGCAGCUCAAAUCGGGUGGUAAAUUCCAUCUAAAGCUAAAUACAGGCGAGAGACCGAUAGCGAACAAGUACCGUGAGGGAAAGAUGAAAAGAACUUUGGAAAGAGAGUUAAACAGUACGUGAAAUUGCUGAAAGGGAAACGCUUGAUGUCAGUCGCGUCGGCCGGGGAUCAACCUUGCUUAAUUGCUCGGCGUACUUCCUGGUCGACGGGUCAGCAUCAGUUUUGAUCGCCGUACAAGGGCGGAGGGAAUGUGGCACUCUUCGGAGUGUGUUAUAGCCUUUCGUCGUAUGCGGUGCUUGGGACUGAGGAACUCAGUACGACCUCUCGGGGUUCGGGGCUUAGGCCUAC